UACGUAGGGGGCAAGCGUUGUCCGGAAUCAUUGGGCGUAAAGAGCGUGUAGGCGGCCCGAUAAGUCCGCUGUGAAAGUCCAGGGCUCAACCCUGGGAUGCCGGUGGAUACUGUCGGGCUCGAGUCCGGAAGAGGAGUGUGGAAUUCCUGGUGUAGCGGUGAAAUGCGCAGAUAUCGGGAGGAACACCUAUGGCGAAGGCAGCUCGCUGGGACGUUACUGACGCUGAGACGCGAAAGCGUGGGGAGCAAACAGG
rnacentral:rRNA from 1 species